AGGUUUACCUUCGGGUAAUUAAAAGGGAAUCGGGUGAAAAUCCCGGACAGUCCCGCUGCUGUGAGUUGUCCUUAUGUGCCACCAACAACAAGCCACUGGCAUAGUCCGGGAAGGCGUUGGUGAGCAAGGCAACAAAGUCAGAAGACCUGCCAUCGCG
rnacentral:ncRNA from 1 species